GAUACUCAGGGCACACAGCAUAUAGAGUAGUCUUGUUCCGCAAAAAAACAGUACCUCUGCUGCUGCUGUACACUCUGCUGCUUCAGAAUUGCUGUUUAACACUGUGGGUUCACCCUUGAAUUCUUCCUGGAUGAAGCCAAGAACCCUCCUGGGCUAAGCCUCAAUUUUGGGGCUUGCCUGUCCUGCGUCAGCAUGAGUAUGGACUUUGGGGUUACAAAUAGGUGCAUUUGCAAAUAUGGAAUCCACGAAUGAUGAAGGUAGACUAUCACUGGGUACCACCGGAAUUCUCUGACCUGAUAACUUCAUAUGCAAAUCCUGGCUGAUCCAUCCUACUCAUUCAGUAAACCCUCAGACUUCAGACUGGAGCAGAACACAGGUCAAUUUCCUGGGCCACUGUAGACCUGGCCACUCCCUACGUCUGCACAGCCACACGUGGCUGCUGAGCACCAGGAAUGUGGCCGUAAGCAUGAGAUAUUGGGAUGUAUUGAGAUGUGCUGUAAGCAUGAAAUAGUCACCAGCGCCUGAAGACAUGGUGUGGCAAUGGGAACGUAGAAUAGCUCAUUCACAGUUCUUAAAUGCUGAUUACAUAUUGAAAUGAUGAUAUUUUGAAUAUAUUGAGUUAAAAUAUAUUUUAAAAUUAAGUCUACUCGUUUUUAACAUGGCUAUUAGAAAAUUAAAAACUACUCAAGUGCCUCAUAUUUCUAUUGGUGAGUUUCAGUCUCGGUUCCAAGCUCACAUUGGAAGAGGCUUAGAACCCAGGUGAAGAGGUUUGGUCAGAAGAGACAGACUUAGGCUUUCUUACUUCAACGGGAGCAUCGUUCACUUGCUGUGAGCUCAGAGCCUGUGAUGAUAUCAUGGACUUAAUCAUGCUUCUUAUUUGACUUGUUUAAAAAAAACUCUGAAAUCCUAUGACUUGUUUGGAUUUUAGCAUCUUAUUUUGAAAAGAAUUCUUUCUGUUAUGGGCUGAACUGUGUCCACUCAAAAUUCAUGUAUGGAAGCCUUAACCCGCAGUGCCCCAAAUGUGAUUGUAUUCAGAGAUAAGGCCUUGAAAGCAGUGAAUAAGUGAAAAAUGAGGCCAUUUAAGUGGGCCCUCAUCCAAUCUGACUGGUGUCCUUCCUUAUUUAUUUAUUUAUUUGAGACACAGUCUCACUCUGUUGCCAGGCUGGAGUGCAGUGGCACGAUCUCGGCUCACUGCCACCUCUGCCUCCCAGGUUCAAGCGAUUCUCCUGCCUCAGCCUCCCCAGUAGCUGGGACUACAGAUGAUGAAGGUUUAAGAAGCGGCAUCAUCAGAGAACUGUGUUUUGAAGAUUUGAGGGAAGGGCUGACCUCAGGAUUUUAUACUAGGUAUUUGAUGCAAUGCAGACUGGAAUCCUCCCCACAAGGAUGCCCUGGCCUGAGUGGCACAGAGAUCAAUGCAGCAGUCAUUUCCUGGGUAGGGAAAGCCUAUCCACAGUGGCCCUGGAAUGAUGCUGGUCUUAUCUUCUAUUCCUAGGAAGGCCCUAUCUCAAGUGGCUCUGGUCCAUGCAAACAGAUGGAAACGGGUGUGGGGAAGCACAGGCCUCCUACUCAUGUUAAGAGAGCUGCUCAGAGGCAGGAAUCCAGAACCAGGAAUGUCCCCAGUGGCUGCCCAAGGUACAAGUGGCAGGCAGCGGGGAGAAUGGCAUGUGAAGUCAUUUGUAACCUGGCCCCAGCUUGGUUUCCAAGUCUCAGAGGAGAUUAUGGAUAUGGUAGUGCCUGGCUCAGUGCUUAAAAUCCAUUCUCCUGCUAUUUCCCUCACCUACACUCAGCCCCACAAGCCGAGAUGUUUGCUGGACAUUUCAGGCACUGCCACCCAGUUCUGUCUACCUUACCUGCUAACACCUGUUGACCAUCCUUCAUGUGAAGGCUUCCCCAAAUACUUCCCAAUCAAAACACUAAAAGGCAAACCUGAAAUUAAUAAAAAUGUUAAUUAAAUCUGUA